AUUGAACGCUGGCGGCAGGCCUAACACAUGCAAGUCGAACGAGUGGCGGAAGGGUUAGCAAUGUCUGGGAAACUGCCUGAUGGAGGGGGAUAACUACUGGAAACGGUAGCUACUACCGCAUACCAGCAGCUGUGCCCAGGUGGGUUGAGCUUGUUGGUGGGGUAACGGCUCACAAAGGCGACGAUCCCUUACUGGUCUGAGAGGAUUAACAGCCACACGGGAACUGAGACACGGUCCAGACUCCUACGGGAGGCAGCAGUGGGGAAUAUUGGACAAUGGGCGCAAGCCUGAUGCAGCCAUGCCGCGUGUGUGAAGAAGGCCUUCGGAUUGUAAAGCACUUUAAGCGGGGAGGCGUUACCCGCAGAAUAAGCACCGGCUAACUCCGUGCCAGCCGCCGCGGUAAUAC
rnacentral:rRNA from 1 species